UGGGGAAUAUUGCACAAUGGGCGCAAGCCUGAUGCAGCCAUGCCGCGUGUGUGAAGAAGGCCUUCGGGUUGUAAAGCACUUUCAGCGGGGAGGAAGGCGAUAAGGUUAAUAACCUUGUCGAUUGACGUUACCCGCAGAAGAAGCACCGGCUAACUCCGUGCCAGCAGCCGCUGUAAUACGGAGGGUGCAAGCGUUAAUCGGAAUUACUGGGCGUAAAGCGCACGCAGGCGGUCUGUCAAGUCGGAUGUGAAAUCCCCGGGCUCAACCUGGGAACUGCAUUCGAAACUGGCAGGCUAGAGUCUUGUAGAGGGGGGUAGAAUUCCAGGUGUAGCGGUGAAAUGCGUAGAGAUCUGGAGGAAUACCGGUGGCGAAGGCGGCCCCCUGGACAAAGACUGACGCUCAGGUGCGAAAGCGUGGGGAGCAAACAGG
rnacentral:rRNA from 1 species